rnacentral:misc_RNA from 1 species
GUUCCAUGAAUAGCUCUUCCUCCUCUAUCUCCGGAUAAAAAUAGUUCUCUGGAACCACGCGGUUGUGAGGCUCUUCCGUUAACAUCUUGAUUAAUUCGCUCGACUGAUUCACAAAGGUAUCAUCAUCUAAUCCAGAUCCGCAGCGUCCAACGCUAUAUGCCCAAUAAAGAAUCGCAUGCUUGCGUACAAUGCCAUUUUCAU